AACGAACGCUGGCGGCAUGCCUAACACAUGCAAGUCGAACGGGAUCCUGGCUUCGGUCAGGUGAGAGUGGCGGACGGGUGAGUAACGCGUGGGAACCUGCCCAGUGGUGGGGGAUAACUGCGGGAAACUGCAGCUAAUACCGCAUGAGCCCGAGAGGGGAAAGAUUUAUCGCCAUUGGAGGGGCCCGCGUUCGAUUAGGUAGUUGGUGAGGUAACGGCUCACCAAGCCGACGAUCGAUAGCUGGUCUGAAAGGAUGAUCAGCCACACUGGGACUGAGAUACGGCCCAGACUCCUACGGGAGGCAGCAGUGGGGAAUAUUGGACAAUGGGGGGCAACCCUGAUCCAGCAAUGCCGCGUGAGUGAUGAAGGCCUUCGGGUUGUAAAGCUCUUUUGGCGGGGACGAUGAUGACGGUACCCGCACGAAUAAGCCCCGGCUAACUUCGUGCCAGCAGCCGCGGUAAU
rnacentral:rRNA from 1 species